GGUGAACGCUGGCGGCGUGCCUAAUACAUGCAAGUCGAGCGAACAGAUAAGGAGCUUGCUCCUUUGACGUUAGCGGCGGACGGGUGAGUAACACGUGGGUAACCUACCUAUAAGACUGGAAUAACUCCGGGAAACCGGGGCUAAUGCCGGAUAACAUUUAGAACCGCAUGGUUCUAAAGUGAAAGAUGGUUUUGCUAUCACUUAUAGAUGGACCCGCGCCGUAUUAGCUAGUUGGUAAGGUAACGGCUUACCAAGGCAACGAUACGUAGCCGACCUGAGAGGGUGAUCGGCCACACUGGAACUGAGACACGGUCCAGACUCCUACGGGAGGCAGCAGUAGGGAAUCUUCCGCAAAGGGCGAAAGCCUGACGGAGCAACGCCGCGUGAGUGAUGAAGGUCUUCGGAUCGUAAAACUCUGUUAUUAGGGAAGAACAAAUGUGUAAGUAACUGUGCACGUCUUGACGGUACCUAAUCAGAAAGCCACGGCUAACUACGUG
rnacentral:rRNA from 1 species